rnacentral:rRNA from 1 species
GACGAACGCUGGCGGCGUGCCUAAUACAUGCAAGUCGAGCGGACUGAAUGGGAGCUUGCUCUUGUUCGGUCAGCGGCGGACGGGUGAGUAACACGUGGGCAACCUGCCCGCAAGACCGGGAUAACUCCGGGAAACCGGAGCUAAUACCGGAUAACACCGAAGACCGCAUGGUCUUUGGUUGAAAGGCGGCGCAAGCUGCCACUUGCGGAUGGGCCCGCGGCGCAUUAGCUAGUUGGUGAGGUAACGGCUCACCAAGGCGACGAUGCGUAGCCGGCCUGGGAGGGUGGCUGGCCAAACUGGGACUGGGGCACGGCCCAAGCUCCUACGGGAGGGAGCAGGAGGGGAUCUUCCGCAAUGGGCGAAAGCCUGACGGAGGGACGCCGCGGGGGCGAAGAAGGCCUUCGGGUCGUAAAGCUCUGUUGUGAGGGACGAAGGAGCGCCGUUUGAAGAAGGCGGCGCGGUGACGGUACCUCACGAGGAAGCCCCGGCUAACUACGUG